GUCUGCUUAGCUCAGUGGGAGAGCGACGGUCUGAAGUUCAGUGCUAUAUAUAAUAGCACGGUCCUGGCUACCGCAGGUCUUGUGUUCGAUCCACAAAGCGGACA